rnacentral:rRNA from 1 species
UACGGAGGGUGCAAGCGUUAUCCGGAUUUACUGGGUUUAAAGGGUGCGUAGGUGGGCAAGUAAGUCAGUGGUGAAAUCUCCGGGCUUAACUCGGAAACUGCCAUUGAUACUAUGUGUCUUGGAUAUCCUGGAGGUAAGCGGAAUAUGUCAUGUAGCGGUGAAAUGCUUAGAUAUGACAUAGAACACCCAUUGCGAAGGCAGCUUACUACGGGAUUAUUGACACUGAGGCACGAAAGCGUGGGGAUCAAACAGG